rnacentral:tRNA from 1 species
GGUGAGGUGGCCGAGUGGUUAAGGCGAUGGACUGCUAAUCCAUUGGGGCCUCCCCGCCUGAGUUCGAAUCUUAUGCUCGUCG